rnacentral:rRNA from 1 species
UACGGAGGGUGCGAGCGUUAAUCGGAAUUACUGGGCGUAAAGCGUGCGCAGGCGGUUUGUUAAGCGAGAUGUGAAAGCCCCGGGCUUAACCUGGGAACGGCAUUUCGAACUGUCUGGCUAGAGUGUGGUAGAGGGUAGUGGAAUUUCCUGUGUAGCGGUGAAAUGCGUAGAUAUAGGAAGGAACACCAGUGGCGAAGGCGGCUACCUGGACCAACACUGACACUGAGGUGCGAAAGCGUGGGGAGCAAACAGG